rnacentral:rRNA from 2 species
GCAGUCAGAGGCGAUGAAGGACGUGCUAAUCUGCGAUAAGCGUCGGUGAGGUGAUAUGAACCGUUAUAACCGGCGAUUUCCGAAUGGGGAAACCCAGUGUGUUUCGACACACUAUCAUUAACUGAAUCCAUAGGUUAAUGAGGCGAACCGGGGGAACUGAAACAUCUAAGUACCCCGAGGAAAAGAAAUCAACCGAGAUUCCCCCAGUAGCGGCGAGCGAACGGGGAGGAGCCCAGAGCCUGAAUCAGUGUGUGUGUUAGUGGAAGCGUCUGGAAAGGCGCGCGAUACAGGGUGACAGCCCCGUACACAAAAAUGCACAUAUUGUGAGCUCGAUGAGUAGGGCGGGACACGUGGUAUCCUGUCUGAAUAUGGGGGGACCAUCCUCCAAGGCUAAAUACUCCUGACUGACCGAUAGUGAACCAGUACCGUGAGGGAAAGGCGAAAAGAACCCCGGCGAGGGGAGUGAAAAAGAACCUGAAACCGUGUACGUACAAGCAGUGGGAGCCUCUUAAUGGGGUGACUGCGUACCUUUUGUAUAAUGGGUCAGCGACUUAUAUUCUGUAGCAAGGUUAACCGAAUAGGGGAGCCGAAGGGAAACCGAGUCUUAACUGGGCGCUAAGUUGCAGGGUAUAGACCCGAAACCCGGUGAUCUAGCCAUGGGCAGGUUGAAGGUUGGGUAACACUAACUGGAGGACCGAACCGACUAAUGUUGAAAAAUUAGCGGAUGACUUGUGGCUGGGGGUGAAAGGCCAAUCAAACCGGGAGAUAGCUGGUUCUCCCCGAAAGCUAUUUAGGUAGCGCCUCGUGAAUUCAUCUCCGGGGGUAGAGCACUGUUUCGGCAAGGGGGUCAUCCCGACUUACCAACCCGAUGCAAACUGCGAAUACCGGAGAAUGUUAUCACGGGAGACACACGGCGGGUGCUAACGUCCGUCGUGAAGAGGGAAACAACCCAGACCGCCAGCUAAGGUCCCAAAGUCAUGGUUAAGUGGGAAACGAUGUGGGAAGGCCCAGACAGCCAGGAUGUUGGCUUAGAAGCAGCCAUCAUUUAAAGAAAGCGUAAUAGCUCACUGGUCGAGUCGGCCUGCGCGGAAGAUGUAACGGGGCUAAACCAUGCACCGAAGCUGCGGCAGCGACACUAUGUGUUGUUGGGUAGGGGAGCGUUCUGUAAGCCUGUGAAGGUGGCCUGUGAGGGUUGCUGGAGGUAUCAGAAGUGCGAAUGCUGACAUAAGUAACGAUAAAGCGGGUGAAAAGCCCGCUCGCCGGAAGACCAAGGGUUCCUGUCCAACGUUAAUCGGGGCAGGGUGAGUCGACCCCUAAGGCGAGGCCGAAAGGCGUAGUCGAUGGGAAACAGGUUAAUAUUCCUGUACUUGGUGUUACUGCGAAGGGGGGACGGAGAAGGCUAUGUUGGCCGGGCGACGGUUGUCCCGGUUUAAGCGUGUAGGCUGGUUUUCCAGGCAAAUCCGGAAAACCAAGGCUGAGGCGUGAUGACGAGGCACUACGGUGCUGAAGCGACAAAUGCCCUGCUUCCAGGAAAAGCCUCUAAGCAUCAGGUAACAUCAAAUCGUACCCCAAACCGACACAGGUGGUCAGGUAGAGAAUACCAAGGCGCUUGAGAGAACUCGGGUGAAGGAACUAGGCAAAAUGGUGCCGUAACUUCGGGAGAAGGCACGCUGAUAUGUAGGUGAAGCGACUUGCUCGUGGAGCUGAAAUCAGUCGAAGAUACCAGCUGGCUGCAACUGUUUAUUAAAAACACAGCACUGUGCAAACACGAAAGUGGACGUAUACGGUGUGACGCCUGCCCGGUGCCGGAAGGUUAAUUGAUGGGGUUAGCGGUAACGCGAAGCUCUUGAUCGAAGCCCCGGUAAACGGCGGCCGUAACUAUAACGGUCCUAAGGUAGCGAAAUUCCUUGUCGGGUAAGUUCCGACCUGCACGAAUGGCGUAAUGAUGGCCAGGCUGUCUCCACCCGAGACUCAGUGAAAUUGAACUCGCUGUGAAGAUGCAGUGUACCCGCGGCAAGACGGAAAGACCCCGUGAACCUUUACUAUAGCUUGACACUGAACAUUGAGCCUUGAUGUGUAGGAUAGGUGGGAGGCUUUGAAGUGUGGACGCCAGUCUGCAUGGAGCCGACCUUGAAAUACCACCCUUUAAUGUUUGAUGUUCUAACGUUGGCCCCUAAUCGGGGUUGCGGACAGUGUCUGGUGGGUAGUUUGACUGGGGCGGUCUCCUCCUAAAGAGUAACGGAGGAGCACGAAGGUUGGCUAAUCCUGGUCGGACAUCAGGAGGUUAGUGCAAUGGCAUAAGCCAGCUUGACUGCGAGCGUGACGGCGCGAGCAGGUGCGAAAGCAGGUCAUAGUGAUCCGGUGGUUCUGAAUGGAAGGGCCAUCGCUCAACGGAUAAAAGGUACUCCGGGGAUAACAGGCUGAUACCGCCCAAGAGUUCAUAUCGACGGCGGUGUUUGGCACCUCGAUGUCGGCUCAUCACAUCCUGGGGCUGAAGUAGGUCUCAAGGGUAUGGCUGUUCGCCAUUUAAAGUGGUACGCGAGCUGGGUUUAGAACGUCGUGAGACAGUUCGGUCCCUAUCUGCCGUGGGCGCUGGAGAACUGAGGGGGGCUGCUCCUAGUACGAGAGGACCGGAGUGGACGCAUCACUGGUGUUCGGGUUGUCAUGCCAAUGGCACUGCCCGGUAGCUAAAUGCGGAAGAGAUAAGUGCUGAAAGCAUCUAAGCACGAAACUUGCCCCGAGAUGAGUUCUCCCUGAGACUUAGAGUCUCCUGAAGGAACGUUGAAGACGACGACGUUGAUAGGCCGGGUGUGUAAGCGCAGCGAUGCGUUGAGCUAACCGGUACUAAUGAACCGUGAGGCUUAACCUU